CGUCUCUUUUAGUGUCUCUACAGUCUUCAAGUUUCUCUCUCUGAUCAUCUCAGCUUUAUUCUACAGCACUGCUCAUCUUUACACGUCACAGACACCAAAUCACAAGAUGAUCUCAAUAUUCUGCUCUGUCUGCACUCUUCUGACCUGUGUCAGUGGAGUGACUGUAGUGACUCAGAGUCCAGUAAUCACAGUCAGUAAAGGACAAACCGCUCAACUGGACUGUAAUCUGGGCACUGUGACUGAUUCUGAAGCUAGAUGGUACAAGCAGACUGCAGCAGGAGUUCCUCAGUAUGUGUUAAGAUUUUAUCAUGGCUGGAGAUCACCUAGCUAUGGAUCUGGUUUCUCUGCUCCUAAAUUCACAUCAACACAUUCAUCUAAAUCAGAUUAUAGUCUGAUCAUACGUAAUGUGGAUGUGAGUGAUUCUGCAGUGUAUUACUGUUAGACAUAUGACA